UACUGUUACGAGAAAAGUUCG
rnacentral:piRNA from 1 species